GAUGAACGCUAGCGGCAGGCUUAACACAUGCAAGUCGAGGGGUAGGGAAAGCUUGCUUUUCUGAGACCGGCGCACGGGUGCGUAACGCGUAUGCAAUCUACCUUUCACAGAGGGAUGGCCCAGAGAAAUUUGGAUUAAUACCUCAUAGUAUUAUAGAAUGGCAUCAUUUUAUAAUUAAAGAUUUAUCGGUGAAAGAUGAGCAUGCGUCCCAUUAGCUAGUUGGUAUGGUAACGGCAUACCAAGGCAACGAUGGGUAGGGGUCCUGAGAGGGAGAUCCCCCACACUGGUACUGAGACACGGACCAGACUCCUACGGGAGGCAGCAGUGAGGAAUAUUGGACAAUGGGCGCAAGCCUGAUCCAGCCAUGCCGCGUGCAGGAUGACGGUCCUAUGGAUUGUAAACUGCUUUUAUACAGGAAGAAACACCUCUACGUGUAGAGACUUGACGGUACUGUAAGAAUAAGGAUCGGCUAACUCCGUGCCAGCAGCCGCGGUAAUACGGAGGAUCCAAGCGUUAUCCGGAAUCAUUGGGUUUAAAGGGUCCGUAGGCGGUCAGGUAAGUCAGUGGUGAAAGCCCAUCGCUCAACGGUGGAACGGCCAUUGAUACUGUCUGACUUGAAUUAUUAGGAAGUAACUAGAAUAUGUAGUGUAGCGGUGAAAUGCUUAGAGAUUACAUGGAAUACCAAUUGCGAAGGCAGGUUACUACUAAUUGAUUGACGCUGAUGGACGAAAGCGUGGGUAGCGAACAGGAUUAGAUACCCUGGUAGUCCACGCCGUAAACGAUGGAUACUAGCUGUUGGGAGCAAUCUCAGUGGCUAAGCGAAAGUGAUAAGUAUCCCACCUGGGGAGUACGAACGCAAGUUUGAAACUCAAAGGAAUUGACGGGGGCCCGCACAAGCGGUGGAGCAUGUGGUUUAAUUCGAUGAUACGCGAGGAACCUUACCAAGGCUUAAAUGUAGAUUGACCGGUUGGAAACAG
rnacentral:rRNA from 1 species